AAUGGUGCGAUUUGGCUCACUGUGACCUCUGCCUCCCGGGUUCAAGCGAUUCUCCUGCCUCAGCCUCCCAUACGAGUUCAACUUUUUCAGAUUCCACGUGCACACAGCUGGGGGACAUCUCCCAGACUCCCCUGCAGCCAGCUGUGGCUAUGUCAUUGAGGGCCAGCCAGUGAAGCGUGGGCAGAAGUGAUGUGUGCCUCUGCCGGCCUGGCCAUUAAGACCCCCGCAUGGAGUGGAGACGACACCCAGGGCGACCUUGGAAGUGGCAUGAUGAAGAGACCAGAGCUUUUGUUGAGCAGUAGUGUGGAGGAGGAGCACCUGCUGAACCACUCACUCCCCGACAGUUGUGUUGGAUUGUGGACCUGUUUUCUCUUUGCCCACUCUGGGCUCAUUUGCAAUUAUA
rnacentral:lncRNA from 1 species